UAUAGGAUAGGUUACGUGUGUAUGCAUUACUUCCUGAAUGUACCUAGUUAUAGGAUAGGUUACAUGUGUAUGCAUUACUUCCUGAAUGUAUCUAGUUAUAGGAUAGGUUACGUGUGUAUGCAUUACUUCCUGAAUGUACCUACAGUUAUAGGAUAGGUUACGUGUGUAUGCAUUACUUCCUGAAUGGACCUACAGUUAUAGGAUAGGUUACGUGUGUAUGCAUUACUUCCUGAAUGUACCUACAGUUAUAGGAUAGGUUACAUGUGUA